CAGAGUAAAAAAGAGGAAGGCGUCAUCUUUAAGCUGCCCAACAUUCCUGAAAGAAGUGACCGCUGGAAGAAAUAACAUCUUCCGAAGGCUUAUUCACCACAAGACCCUGGAUUGUAGCAAUAAAUUCUCCACAAUCCAGAUCUUCUGACUGAAUCUGCAACCACCUCAACAACACAGACCCACAAGAUCAACUUCUCUGUUAUUGUACUAUCUCUGUCUCUAACAACUUUAAAACUACAUCGACGCUCAAGGUUCAAGAUGGAUGCAGCCUGUGUCCUGUGGGGAAUCGUUUGGCUGAUUAUAUUAUUUUUUAUUGGAUGGCCAAUUAGCAUCUUUUUGGGAGGACUGUAUGGAUUCUUUGCUCCUUUGUUGGUUCUGCUAACUCUGGAUGACGUUAGUGAAAUUUUAUUGAAGGGGGUAAAUUUGGGAGUACAAUGUGCUAAGAAUGCGCGAACAGGAAAGCCCCUCUUUUAACAAUAAACCCUAUCACAAAUCAGGAAAUAAAGUUUCAUUCUGUGGUCUUUAAUGGACUUUGAAAGUAUUUGUGUACAUUCCUGUUUAUUGAUAUUUUACAAUAUUGUAAAGAAAUAUAGUAUCAUUUAAUUUGUAAACUGUAUGAAACCUGGGGAGAUCUAAAUAAGAACUUCAAAUAUUUGUCAGAUCUGGGUUUGAAUAGAACACUAUGUUUGCAGCUCUGAAAACCUAUGUAUUAAUAUCUUUCCUUAGAUACAGUGAUGAAACUUGCAUUCCUUUUAGGGGGAAAGUUGGCUUUUAGCUUCUUGCUCUGCCUUAUAAGCUAUCAAAAGUUCAAAGUUUAAUUGUUUAUUUGUU